AGCCAGUGCCCAUUCUCAGCUGACCAUAUUGUGCCGGGCAGUGAUUUAAUACAGCACAUGUAAGCGUGCCCGCUCAACAAUACAAUCAAGCGUUUCAUCUAAGACUAUGGCAAGCAACCAGGCUCGGCAUGAAACUAUAUUGAAAUGCCCCUACAACCCUGCUCACAUGGUGAAGAGAAGCCGCUACCAAAUACACAUCGCAAAAUGCCUAAUGGCUUUCCCGCAGCGGUGCAUGAGCCAGUGCCCAUUCUCAGCUGACCAUAUUGUGCCGGGCAGUGAUUUAAUACAGCACAUGUAAGCGUGCCCGCUCAACAAUACAAUCAAGCGUUUCAUCUAAGCCCAUUCUACACGAACCACGCCCAUGAUGUAAGUGGCAGAGGUCAAGACUCUCGGCCUGGAUGACACCGACUCCCUACUCUGUACUGAAUAAAGCUGCUCUAUGUAUCUUGUUUUCAAUGCACAAGAUCGCGGUGCCUUUUCUCUAUUGGGUGUGCC
rnacentral:lncRNA from 1 species